rnacentral:rRNA from 1 species
CCCGGUGACUAUAUCGGGCUGGAUACACCCGUUCCCAUUCCGAACACGGUCGUUAAGCAGCCCGAGCCGAUGGUAUUGGCUACCGCUGAGAGAGUAGGUCAUCGCCGGGA